rnacentral:rRNA from 1 species
GCUGAUGCAGCGACGCCGCGUGAGGGAUGGAGGCCUUCGGGUUGUAAACCUCUUUCGCUCAUGGUCAAGCCGCAACAUUGGUUGUGGUGAGGGUAGUGGGUAAAGAAGCGCCGGCUAACUACGUGCCAGCAGCCGCGGUAAUACGUAGGGCGCGAGCGUUGUCCGGAAUUAUUGGGCGUAAAGGGCUUGUAGGCGGUUGGUCGCGUCUGCCGUGAAAUCCUCUGGCUUAACUGGGGGCGUGCGGUGGGUACGGGCUGACUUGAGUGCGGUAGGGGAGACUGGAACUCCUGGUGUAGCGGUGGAAUGCGCAGAUAUCAGGAAGAACACCGGUGGCGAAGGCGGGUCUCUGGGCCGUUACUGACGCUGAGGAGCGAAAGCGUGGGGAGCGAACAGGAUUAGAUACC